AUUAUCUUACUAGCACUAAUGCACUGGAUCUCAUCAGAACUCCGUAGUUAAGCGUGUUUGGACGAGUAGUACUAGGAUGGAUGACCUCCUGAAAAGUUCUCGUGUUGCACCA